UACGGAGGGUGCGAGCGUUGUCCGGAAUCACUGGGCGUAAAGGGCGCGUAGGUGGCCACUAUAAGGCUGCGGUGAAAGUUCGGGGCUCAACCCCGAAUCUGCCGCGGCGACUGUAGGGCUUGGGCACCGUAGAGGCAGAUGGAAUUCCGGGUGUAGCGGUGGAAUGCGUAGAGAUCCGGAAGAACACCAGUGGCGAAGGCGGUCUGCUGGGCGGUGGGAGCGCAAGCUCCUCUUAGCCGACACUGAGGCGCGACAGCGUGGGGAGCAAACAGG
rnacentral:rRNA from 1 species